UGGUUGGCUGCUUUGGAAGGUUCAUGCCAGAACUGCUAGAUGGGUACAGUGUCACAGUGUACACCAACUAAGAGGCCCAUCAUUUUGAUGAAAGGAGUAAUUAUUCAUGUCUCAAGUCUUCUAGAGGAUUAUUCUGUCCACUGUUUGUUGAGCUUUCUAGUUGUGUACUCUUCAUAGUUUUGUUGUUGUUGUUGUUGUUGUUGUUGUUGUUGUUUUUGUUUCUAUUUAUUUCUUCCCCAACUUUAAGCUUGUGUUUUUUUCUCUUUCUUCUUUACCUCCAAGGCUUGUCCUUUUUCCUAUUUUUGAAUUUAAGCCUGACCUUUCCUGUUCUGUCACAGUGUUAGAUGAGUUCUUUGUCUUUAUUUUGUUAGAUUUUCUUUCCUGGGCUUUUCACAUUUUACAACUCAAGAUUUCUCUCAGCAAAUUAAUGCCUUGUCUUUAACAGACCAUCUCUUUAUCUGCAUCAUUAAAACUGCUCAAUGGCAGCUUUAAAGUUUUCUUUGUAUUUUGAAUGAAACCUAGCUAUGUGGAAAAGAAAUUAUCCCUUUAAGCAUGCUGCCCAUUGAGCCCACAGGCACCUUGUUGUCCUAGGUUAGUUUUAACAGAUUUCAGAGUUUCAGAUUUUAGAGAAACACAAGAUGAAAGAUCAGACAACACUUGUAAGAGAGUAUGACAGAGGAAAAUAAAAAAAGGAAUAGAGAGACAAAGUUUAGCAUACCAAAAGAACUGUGGAAAUUGGUGGAGACUGAAGGAAGACAUGCUUCCUAAGCAGAUGAAUUUCAGUAUUUCACAGUGAAUCUGGAAUCAGAAAAAGCUUUUUGGAGUGCUUUUGUGCUGCCUGAUGAGGCCAUUUCCCAGCCAACCAGACUGUAUGAAAGAACUGCCUAAAUAUCAUGGAAGAGUACGCAUUCAGGAGACAGCAGUGUCUCAUGAUAGG